AUCUCCAAGUCAUGUCAUAAGCACCUUUUAUAUCGAAGAAGACCGCAACCAGAUGUUCACCACUGUCAAAUGCCCUCAGAAUUCUGUCUGUCAGUUUGACCAGAUGGUCUACCGUUGACCGUCCUUUCCGAAAACCAGUUUGGUAAGGCACGUAUACGUUAUUGCUUUCGAGAAAUGUUUGUAGCCGCACAUUAACCAUUUUUUCUAGCAGUUUUCCCAAGCAAGAUGUCAAACUAAUUGGGCGAUAACUUUGUGCCUGCAACGGAUCUUUUCCUGGUUUCGGUAUAGGAAUUACGAUGGCUUGCUUCCAUUCUGAGGGAACUACAGUGGCGAAGCAUCUGGUUAUGGAUAGCGUCUUCUCCCGGUGAACAUGACUUGGUGUUACGGAUUGCUGCCUCCAAUUCUUCUACAGUAAAAGGUUUGGUAUCUAGAAAGGUGUUGGAAUAGUUUGACGAGCUACUGACUUUAUAGAACUGAUCUGCA